CCCCAGCCCGGCUCCUACUUCUCCACCCGGCCAUCCGCUACCACCCUCAGGAGACCCUCAGGAGUUUGUCCAACUUGUCUGCCCUGACUCUGGCCAGCAAGCUGGACAGGUGGGAUUCCUUAAUCCCAACGGCAGUAGUCAGGGGAAGGUACACAACCCGUUCCUGCCCACCCCCAUGCUGCCCCCGCCUCCCCCGCCCCCCAUGGCCCGCCCGGUGCCCCUGCCUGUGCCAGACUCCAAACCUCCCUCAACCUCCACCGAGGGAGGGGGGAACUCCCCCACCUCGCCAACCUACUCCACGCCCAGCACAUCCCCCGCCCAGCGCUUCGUCAGUGUGGGGCCCCGCGACCCCAGCUUUGUAAACAUCCCUCAGCAGCCUCAGUGGUACCUGGGGUAAGGAUUCCAGACCCCCCCGCCGACCGCCCGCUCUACAGAUCGCUGGACCCUCACCCCCACCCCCACCUGCUGCCCUGAGUGCGACCCGACCUGACCUGACACACCUCUCCGACAGAGAGGCCACCACUCGCCCGACUCCACCACAGCAUCCACCUCUACUGCCCCCCCGCCCCCGCCAGCCAGCGCCAGAGAGACUACAGCAUUAGCAUGUCUACCCUCUUCUCCUCCUCCCUCCCUCUCUCCCUCUUCCACUCCUCCAUCCCUGGAGCUGACUCCACCACACGGCGCGAUCUAGCCAUGCUUACACACACACACAACCAUGCUAUAUAUCUAUAUAGCCCAUAUAUACCUUCAUAUGUAUGGUCUAUAUGCCCAUAUUCAUAUAUCGUACCAGUCGCUCUCUCUCGGCCUCUGUCUCGGUCUCUCUCUCGCUUUCCCUCCCUCUCUCUCUCUCUCUCUCUCUCCUUCUACCUCUCUCUCCCUCUGUGUCUCUUUUGGAAGUGGAAGCUCCAGGGACGAGAGCACCUCUGUCUUUCGUGGGUCUUUCUCCAGGCGGGGGAUCCUAACCGUUCUGACUCCAAGAGCUUCCCCCCUUCCUGUGGCUGCCGCAGUCCAGCUGCCAAGACAACGAGCAAUCACGCCUCAUCCUACAGACUUACAGCUCCGGAACCCCCCCCCCCCCCCUCCCUCCGACUAAGGCCGAAGGUCGGAAGUUAAUCGCCUCUUCCUCCUUCCCUCCUCUCUCUAUCGACCCCCCAGGGACAUGAUUGGCUCAGCUGGUCGGCGGUUCGGUUGAGGUUUGGCUGCUCACGGCUGUGGAGGUUUUACCUGGCUGAGAUACCCCCAGCUAAGACCUCCCCCUGAGCUUCUACUGUGUCUGCUCCCCACACCCCUCACCACCAGCCCCUGACCAGCCCUCACCUCCACCCCCCUACCCCACUCACCUCCAUCCCCUGACCAACCCUCACGUCCAGCCCUGACCACCCCUCACCUCCAACCCCACUCACCGCCCCCUCCGAACACCCGUUACCGCCCCCCCGUGAACACCCCUCACCUCCACCUACCCCUUUCAUCUCCACCCUCCACCCCCCCGGGCCACCAGGCCCCCGGUCUUCACACGGGGGCUUUCCAGGGACAUGGAACGAUGCGAAUGGGAAACCCUGCGGAGAACCGACCCCGUCACACUACAAACUCUGUGGGCGGGGCAGGAGAGGGGAGGGGCUCGACGUUUGAUAUCGGUCAAUCGGGUGAAAUAGCGGAACUCGUACGAAGGCUGCAAGGAGGUAUUUGAAACGAGAGGCUUGUAAGCUACACUUGUGACUGGGAGGCUUGCUCAUGAUUCAUUUUUGUAUAGAGGUCAUUUCAGUUCCUUCACUUACGGUCUGUACAAUUAUAUACGAUGUAAAGGACGGGUUAGCGGUCUGUAAUUCGACAAACUAACAUGAUGGGAGACAUCCAUGACUUAAGCAGUGGAAUAUUGAAUUGAGGAAAGUGCAAUUUUGUUGGAUAGCUGUUGGAUAGUUAAAUAUCUUUGUAAGAUAGGUCGUUGAAACAAUUGUUGAAAAGUAUAUAUAUAUUUUUCUUCCUAGUCCAUUCACUCCUCUGGGACUCUAAAAUAUCGGGGUACAAAAAAGUGAAUCUAGAACAAUAGCCUUGUGAAAAAUAAGGGGAGAGCUGUGUUUGCUUUUGUUGUUGUUUUUUUAUUAUUUUGUUUGUUUGUUCAUCUUGUAAAUUGUUUUUGUAUUGUAGAACAAGAUCCCUUUAAGAAAAAUCGUCAUUUUAAACAAUCAACUUUAGGAGUUUCUUGCAGCUUGAAUUUUUUAGACUGCUUUUCAUUGUUUGGCUAAACGCUAAGUGAAUAACUUAUUUUAACAAAGCACAUGAUUUGAAAAAAAUGUAGCUGUUUCAAUUGAUCAUGAGGCUCAAUCAGGAACCUAGUAAAGUCCGUAAAUUUCUACACUUUCAGUACAAAAGAUAAUCGUAACGGCGUCCAUGUGGUGGAUUGCCUGUCAAUUGGUAUGGCCUUUCUGAGGCCUUGUCCAAACAGGAGCACUUAUUCCUGCAGUUGGCCAAUGGGCUGGGAGUCUGGAAUCAGGGGGUGUAAGUUGGGUGAGAAUGAGGAAAUGCAGUGUUCCUCUGUGUUAACAUUUGUGUUGCAAAUACAUUGAUAUCCACAUCAAAGCAAGAUCGCAACUAGACUGUGAGGCUUCACCGUGGCUUCGCAUGCAACUUACCAUUUUAUUUGUUUAGUUUUUGUUUUCUAUACUAUACAUAUAUAUAUACACACUUAAGACCGACUCAUUCAUCGUCGAUCGAAAGUGAAUAAAAGUUUAAAAAAAAAAAGGACAAAAAAUGACAAAAAAUAUCUGCAUGUUUUAGUGUUAGUGACAAAAUUUUUACAUAGAUUAUGUAGAGUUAGUGAAUAAAGACACAAUAUUGUAAUCCCAACAUCAGGCUUUUGCCAACAAACUAUAUGUUUGGCCCCUCUAGUGGCGCUUGUCUACUGCUCUCCUUCACAAUCAACCAGCUCAACUUCUAUCAGCCUCUUCUUCACAUCUCAGCAUUUCUCAACAACCUAUUACUCUCUUCUGUUACCUUUUCAAAUGAUUUGUUCAAAAAAGUAUAUUUCAUUUUCGUAUGUUAUGGAAUUGCACGAAACAAUUGUUCCUCAUCAAUGUGCCUUGAGCUAUGGUCUAGUCCUGAGUUGUUGCACAAGUUCCAAUGUGGAGUUUCUUUAUUUUUUAUUUCUCGAUAAUUGUUUGUCCCCUCCUCCCAUUGUAUAGGAAACUGGAGUGAUCAAAGUAGUAGUAUAACUAGAAAAAAAAGGAACAUUCAUUAAUUAGGGAUCUCUUGCCGGUAGUAAAAAUGCAGUAUUACGUCUGCCAUUGUAAGACAUCUCAGGCCUGCACUGCAGUGCUUUUGCUCUCCUCGAGCAACGUUGAAGUACUGUACGUGUACAAGACCUGAGAGGCAAUAUCCGUCUUGUACUGCUGUGAAUCUAGGCCAGAGUCAAUCUUCCCCCGUUUGGCCCUUUGUAGUCGUUGAGUGAGUAGGAAGAGAGCUCUUAGGUGUUUAGUGUUGUGUAGAUAGUUCAACACCUUGCCCCCUCUACACAUUGUGUUGACAAUACUAGUAUAUUGAUAUUUAUGGCUGUUGCUGCAAUUUCUAAAUGGAAACUCGUUUUUUUUUUCCUUUUUAAGUCUUCCUGUUUUUUUUUGUUCCCAGAAAUGAUCAUGAGAAAAAAAUAUGCAAUACCUGCUUGCACUCACGUAGACAUACACUAGUCAUGUGUUUUUAAGUUUUUGUUUUUUUUUCUUGUUUUUCCAAUUUCUUCUCUUUUUUUUUUUUUUCAACCAAAGUUAGCGUGCACUUGACUGGCUGCGUUGGUGAGUGGUUCUCUGUGGGAGAGCCACUCCAGGAAACACAAGCUAGCCUCACCCCAGUCCGCCUUGCUCGGGUAAUCAACUUUCUUUUUUGUAUUCGAUACUUAGCAAAUAUUAUGGUUCUCCUUUCUUUCUCUCUCUUGGUCACAAGCAAGCCUUAAAUAAGUCAAACUUCCUCUCCAUCACAAAACCCACGUUUUUGACAGACAACUAAAUAUGACGUCCAAGAAUAACAGUCCCACUUUCAAUAUACAUUGCGACUUCGAAGUUACGUAUAUAAAUUGUUUACCUGUUAUCUGUUUAGUACAUACUGUAUAUCAUUUAAAAACAUUUUAGUAUGGGGAUGUCUUUCCCGGGUGUCAGAUGUGAUGGUUUAGUAGUUACAUUUGCGUGGAUUGUGUGUUUCCUUUAGUGUGUGAUGGUUUUGUUUGGUCUUUGUUCUUGCCUACCCUUUAGCGAUGAGUUGGGCAUUACUUUCUUAAUUAUCUGCACUAAAUAUGAAAUACAUGACAAUAGUGAGAAUUAUUGAAAAACGGCUUCCAGGGCUUAAAAGAGCGAAGGGAAAAAAACGAUUGCACGGACAUUUUUGUCACAAAACCUUGUUGUGAAACAGCCUAGCAUCUAAUCAGCAAGAUUUGGCUGUGUAUGUAAGAUACGACAACGUUGCACCCUUUUUAAAGAAAGACAAAAAAGAAAAAGAACAUAAAAGCAAUAGUUUGGGCAGACUGUUUUUGUUCUUGUGUUGUGUGUGUGUGUAAUUUAGUUUUGGGUACAGAAGUGGAAAGAUGUGAUGAUGAGAAACGAAUAGCUGAAGAAAAAAAAAAAAGAAGAAAGUGACGGAGCAAGCAGGGCGGGAAGGCCUAACUAUGGGAGACGUGUUUGUAUGUUGUAUAGUUUUAUUAAUUACACUGAUUUUAAAGCUGCCCUAUUUUAUAAUGCAGGACUUUUGUAACAUUGAUUAAAUGAGGAAAAAAAGUAGUGUUGUGAAUUUUCUGAUCGUUUGUAUUAAGGCCACAUUAAUAGAACUGGGUUUGUUUGUUCUCUGGGAACUGGAUUUAAGUUGAAAACUUUCCUGUUUCCUUAUUUCCUUUUUGUUUCUUUUUUGCUUUCCUUUUUGUAUGUAUUUAAGGACGUUUUCUUCUUUUGAUGGUAUAGCAAAUUCCUAUACUUAAAAAGUAUAGGAUAUUGAGGUGAAAAGCCCAUUGUAAAUGGAUGUUACAGUAUGCUGUAUGUUUUGAAGGUUAUUUGUUGCAUCAGUGUUGAUGAAGCUAAAUCUAGGUAAUUCUGAGGAAAUUGGUAAGAGCGUUUUUUAUGCAUUUUAAAACUUAGUUUAGGCAGAAGACAAUGACAUAGACAGCCAAAUGAUGCCCCUAUUAUAAAUGCAUCUAGGCAUCUUUUUUGUGUUCACCAUUCCAUGCAGGAAAAUAAACAGCUUGAUUUAUGCAA